rnacentral:pre_miRNA from 1 species
GAGACACUCGUCUGGGGCAAGACUUGCUUCAAUGUGGCUUUGGUGCUCACUGAGUCUGCCUCCUGAGUGUGUCCCU